rnacentral:rRNA from 1 species
GCCUACGGCCAUACUACCCUGAAUGCGCCCGAUCUCCUCUGAUCUCAGAAGCUAAGCAGGGUUGGGCCUUGGAUG